UACGGAGGGUGCAAGCGUUAAUCGGAAUUACUGGGCGUAAAGCGCACGCAGGUGGCUGAGUCAGUCGAUUGUGAAAGCCCUGGGCUUAACCUGGGAAUUGCAGUCGAAACUACUCGGCUAGAGUAUGGGAGAGGACAGUGGAAUUCCCGGUGUAGCGGUGAAAUGCGUAGAUAUCAGGAAGAACACCCGUGGCGAAAGCGGCUCUCUGGAACGGUACUGACGCUGAGACGCGAAAGCGUGGGGAGCGAACAGG
rnacentral:rRNA from 1 species